rnacentral:misc_RNA from 1 species
GACACAAUGUCGACCCUAGAAGAACGAAUAGCGGCGUACGAAAGUCCACAAUGCAAUAUUCUGGAUGGAUUUAGCCACGAGAAGAUUGUGAGCUCUGGACUAGGUCUGCUAUUUGUGGGGCUGUUCAUUCUUUACAAAGAUGUGAAGUCGGAAGCAUGGGCCUGGAGGGAGAUUAUCACGACCUUUGGGGUUGUGUGGCUCGUCGCGUGGCUGGUCAUCCAUUUUCGCUUGAACAAAAGCAAAGACAAGCCCCAAGUAAACGUCAGAAAAGGGAUUGAAUGAGCCUCCCAUUGAUAUCGGCGCCUGAUCCGUUGUAUCAGAAUGGCCAUGCCUUGUCAAAGCGUACUUGUACAAGUACGUUUGUAUAUACACUUAUUAGAAUUAUAUUGC